UCAAAAUCCAACAGUGAC
rnacentral:miRNA from 1 species